CCACCAGUCUACAAAGCCUGCAGUGGAACCAUAGUGCUCAGAUUCACAGGGGUCUCUGAUGCUCCCAGAUAUGGAAUGCCAACUGACUCUAAAAAGGAUUUUAAUAUGGAUCAAAGGGCACGUGAAUCUUCAGGAAGAAGGAAAGGAGGACAGAAGUUUCGACCUCUCAAGCAUCCCACCUCUUUUUCAUGAGUCUCAAAGAAGACCCUCUGUUUAACAAGUCCCCAUCUAGCUUCCUCUUUGCAAGAAUGGGCUAUGAAGACAGUGGAGGAUCCCUUCUGCAGGGGCUGGAAUUCAUACAACAGGAGGCGCUGUCAGCAGCAGUCGAGCCUGCCUCUUGGAAUCACGUCUGUCUCACCCCCGGCAGCCUCGUGCCUCAAAGGCUGGACCAGUGGCUGUGCCCUGGGUCUAGUGCAGUCCGGCUGGUGAGCGGCCCCUGCCAGGCCCCGAGGAGUGACACCUUACAUCUACUGAGCUCAGCCUUCCAGAUUUUAUCAUGCCAUUCAAGUGC
rnacentral:lncRNA from 1 species